rnacentral:sRNA from 1 species
UCCGUAGGUGAACCUGCGGAGGGAUCAUUAGUGAAUUUGUUUUGUGGUUGGGUAUCUUGCUAAAAUCUUUACAAGAUAUCCCCCAAACACCCCCACUAUUAUCACGCCGGCUGGAGAGAGUAAAAUCUUUACAGUCGAGAGCCUAGUAAGCUCGGAAAUUGAUGUUGAGAGAAAUCUCAAUGUUUUUUUUUAGAACCAUAUAGUCAUGUAUGUUAAGUAGUAUUCUUAAAACAAAUACAACUUUCAGCAACGGAUCUGUUGGCUCUCGCAUCGAUGAAGAACGUAGCAAAUUGCGAUAAGUAUUGUGAAUUGCAUUUUUAGUGAAUCAUCGAAUCUUUGAACGCAUCUUGCGCUCUGGGGCUAUUCCCCAGAGCAUGACUGUUUGAGGGUUGUGUAUAUCAUCAUCCCCCUCUGAGUGGAAACAUGAGGAGAGAUUUUUUGGGUAUGGAUAGUGGUAACUGUAGGAAGUGAUUUCUAUUUUGCCGAAAAACAUGAGUGGCUGAUUUCCAAUUUCUGGCAGCACCAUAGCAAAGGCGUUAUAGUUUAUAUUCGCUUGUCGCUUAGAGCAGUCAAUAGAAGUAGGAGUUAAAGGCCUCUUCGAAGUAGUUUCUCAACUCUUCAACCUCAAAUCAGUUAGGACUACCCGCUGAACUUAAGCAUAUCAAUAAGCGGAGGAAAAGAAAAUAACAAUGAUUCCCCUAGUAACGGCGAGUGAAGUGGGAAAAGCUCAAAUUUUAAAUCUGGCAGUCUUUGGCUGUCCGAGUUGUAAUCUAGAGACGCAAUGUCCGUUCUGGACCGCAUUUAAGUCUGCUUUUAUGCAGCAUCAUAGAGGGUGACAAUCCCGUGUGUGUGCGGACUACCAGGGCAUAGUGGCAUGUGUUCAAAGAGUCGAGUUGUUUGGGAAUGCAGCUCUAAUUGGGUGGUAAAUUCCAUCUAAAGCUAAAUAUUGGCGAGAGACCGAUAGCGAAUAAGUACCGUGAGGGAAAGAUGAAAAGCACUUUGGAAAGAGAGUGAAAUAGUACGUGAAAUUGCUGAAAGGGAAACGCUUGAAGU